GGAGCCUGGGCCACUGCACCCUACCAGGACGGCAGGACUGGAAAGGCCGCUGACCUGCUCGUCUGACACCUGCAGACCGCUGGAGACCCAGGGACACUGGCUGUUGCUGCUCAUGUUUGAAGGCCGCCCGGAGGCGAGACUUCCUCUUCCUCCAGGGGCUGCUGCCCAGAGGCGGGACUUCCUCUUCCUCGGGGACCACUGUCUUUUUCUCUUAAGGCCUUGGACUGCCUGGAUGAGGCUAUAAUAUGGUCAGUACUCUGCUCUACCCAGUGUCUCCUGAUUGAAAUAUUAAUCUCAUCCAAGAAACACGCUCACAGCAACGUCUACACUGGUGUUUGACCAAAUAGCUGAGGACUGUGGCCUGGUCGAGCUGACACAAAAGUAGCCAUCACAGCUGCUGCUAUGGUCUGAAUGUUGGUGUCACCCCCAGAUUCAUUUGUUAGAACUUAAGCCCUAAGGCGAUGGCAUCACUGGAGGGCUUUGGGAGAUGAGGAGGAUGUGAAUGGGACCAGUAGCCUCAUAAGAGGUUUGGGGGUCCUGGUUGCCUUUCCCCACCCUCCCGUCCCUGCCACUGGGUGAGGAUGCAGCAAGAAGUCACUGUCCUGGGAGCAGAGAGCAGACAGCCACCCUCACCAGACACUGAAUCUGGUGGGGCAUUGGUCCUGGGUGUCCCAGCCUCCAGAACCUAGCAAUGAAAUUCCGGUUACAAAUUGCCCCCUCUGAGGUAUUUCAUUUUAGCAGGAGGAACAGACAAGGGUGACCACCGAGGCCCUUCUCAGGCUGCCGCAGGUCUCGAGGAUGGGAACAGUCAGCUGGGGCCAACAGAGCUUCAUGUGGUCAAGAGACCAUACCUGUGGGCAGCGCAGACCAGGGCCCGCCUCCCACUUCACCCAGUGCACCCUCAGCACGGGACACGGACCUAGACACGGCACUGCCGGGGUCUCCAUCCUUGCAGGCGCUGCCAGGCGCCCUCCCUGGGAGAAGCUGCGGCUCCAGGGCCACAGCCUUGCAGGUCGGCCACCACCUGGCUUUGUGGGCUGUUAUGCCUGGCCUAGUGUCCAGGGUGGUGAUUUUUAUUUGAACAAAGACCAGUCUCCACCACCAAAGUCAUCGCUCUGCUGUUGCUUCCAGAACCAAAGAAAGGUUGACUUCUGGGCCGGGCGCAGUGGUUCACGCCUGUAAUCCCAGCACUUUGGGAGGCCAAGACGGGCAGAUCACGAGGUCAGGAGAUCGAGACCAUCCUGGCUAACGUGGUGAAACCCUAUCUCUACUAAAAGUACAAAAAAAUUUAGCUGAGCAUGGUGGCACAUUCCUGUAAUCUCAGCAACUCCAGAGGCUGAGGCAGGAGAAUUGCUUGAACCUCAGAGGCAGAGGUUGCAGUGAGCCAAGAUUGCACCACUACACUCCAGCCUGGGCAACAGAGCAAGACUCUGUUUCAAAAAAAAAAAAAAAAAA